rnacentral:lncRNA from 1 species
AUGCAUGCAUAUUUUCUUUGCAGCACUGUUCACAAUAGCAAAGACAUGGAAUCAAUCCAAAUACCCAUCAAUGAUAGACUGGAUAAAGAAAAUGUGGUACAUAUAUACCAUGGAAUACUAUGCAGCCCUAAAAAGGAACAAAAUCAUGUCCUUUGCAGGGGCAUGAUGAAGCUGGAAGGCCUUAUCCUCAGCAAAUCAACGCAGGAACAGAAAACCAAACACCACAUGUUCUCACUUAUAAGUGGGUGUUGAACAAUGAGAACACAUGGACACAGGGAGGGAAGCACUACACACUGGGGUCUGUUGGGGUGAGUAGGGGAGGGACAGUGGGGUUGGGGAGUUGAGGAGAGAUAGCAUGGGGAGAAAUGCCAGAUAUAGGUGAAGGGGAGGAAGGCAGCAAAUCACACUGCCAUGUGUGUACCUAUGCAACUAUCUUGCAUGUUCUUCACAUGUACCCCAAAACCUAAAAUGCAAUUUAAAAAAAAACCAAGAGUGAAUGCAAUCAGUGAUAAAAGUGAGAUUCUGAUAAAGUUACAGAAGAUUAAUUCAUUUCAAGCUGUCCUUGACACAUUGCUAAAAUUUGGACCCCUGAUGAUGUGGCAGAAAGGGUAUCCUAAGCAGCAAGAGAACGUGGCAGAGGAUGAGGACACCUGAAGGUAAAGUGAAGAGUGACCUUGAGACUCAGGACUGAUCGCAAAAUGCGAACCCAAGCCAUGAAACAGGGUGAAGCUAAUGCGAGACGUUUAGUCUUCAUUCAACAGAGAGCAGAAGGGGAUGUCAAAGAAGGUAUUUGAGGGUAGGAGAAAGAUGAUCACAUUUGGUCUUGAAUAAGAGUAAUCUGUAUAAAAUGGACCCAAAGGCAAGAGUACGGCCAAUGAGAUCAUCUGGGAAGCUCAGAGACUAAGAAAAGAUACAAAGGUAAAACUUAAAACCUUUCUUCUCAGUGUGGUCCCAGCACAGAUGACCAGUAUCUGCAUCACCUGAAGGCUGGUUAGAAAUGCAGGUUCUCAGGUCCCACCUCAGACCUCUUGUAUCAGCGUCUGCAUUUUAUCAAGAUCCCUAAGAGAUCUGAAUUCACAUGAACGUUGCAGAAAUAAUGAAUUAAGAUAUUGACAGCAGGAGAGGAAGGUAGCCAAGAAGUUUGAACUCUUCCUUGGUUGAAUCAUUCGAAUUUGGUACCUGGCUAAAUGUGGGAGGUGAGGGAAGAGAAUAAAUCAAGAUUACUUAAUUUAUUCAUAAUGUUUGAGCAGUAGGAUGGUCAUGCUAUUCAUAGAAAUAGGAACCCCAAGAGGGGAACAGGAUGAGGAAGGAGACGGAGGCUGUGCGAGCCAACAAGCACAGGGAAAUGCUCCUUUCUGAAGCCAAGUCAGUCUUGGAGAUGAGCGAGUGAGUGUGACCCACAUGGAAAGGGUAUUUGAAACUGUGGAAAGAGGCAGAUGCGGAACGGGAGGCCGGGGAACAGUAUGGGGGAAAUAGCUGGAGAGUCCUACACUCAGCAGAAGAUGGGGGUGGAGAACAGCAAGGAGAGAAGAGAGCCAGAGGAGAGAAGAGAGCUAGGGAGGUACAAUGCUCUAAAAAUUAAGGGAGUUUAAAGGUGUUGCUAAGAGAUUAACCAGGGUAAUGAGUUCGUGUCCUUUGCAGGGACAUGGAUGAAUCUGGAAACCAUCAUUCUCAGCAAACUGACACAAGAACAGAAAACCAAACACCAUAUGUUCUCAUUCAUAGGUGGGUGUCGAACAAUGAGAACACACAGACACAGGGAGGGGAACAUCAGACACUGGGCUCUGUUGGGAGAUUGGGGGCCUGAGGGAGGGACAGCAGGGGCUGGGGAGAUUGAGGAGGGAUAACAUUGGGAGAAAUACCUAAUGUAGGUGACGGGAGGAUGGAGGCAGCAAACUACCAUGGCAUGUUUAUACCUAUGUAACAGUCCUGCAAGAUCUGCACAUGAACCCCAGAACUUAAAGUAUAAUAAUAAAAAGUAAUAAUAAAUCCCUCACUUUUCUAGUUCCUUUCUUUUAUUACCAUUCGUUCUUCUCUGUACCUUUCCAUGUAAUGCACUAUAAUGAAAUAUAUAGAAAAAAAUAAAAGAGAUUAACCAGGGUAGACAAGGAAUCUGUUUUGUGACUAAGAGAUUACAGGUGACUUUUGGAAAAGUCAUUGCUAUAAACCUCAUGAAUGUGGACGAGAGGAGUCAAAAGGUUUCAGGUCAGAGGGUAGUGAGAUCAGGCAAGUGUGAUCGCUGAUCAGUAAGUGUAAAUGAAAAGGUUAAAAAAGAACAUGAAAAUUUGAAGUGGCACAUAGGACCAGGUUGAAAUAACGUUAAACUUUUCAACUUUAAAGAUUUUCUUAUGGAAGAAAGAUCAGAAGUGUUCUCAUCAUAAUUCUCAGAAUUAUUAAGAAGGCAAACAAGCACAAGGAGAAUGAGAUUUUUGGCUCAUUAUAAAGAGGAUCUGCGUCUCACUGCUCCAUGAAAAUGGAACUCACCCCUGGUGAGUGUUAAUUUCUCAAACCAUACAGACUGCACAGCGUAACAUGAAGAGAGAGGUCCAAAGGCAAAAACUGUUCAUCAGUGACAUCUGCAGUGGUCUGAAUGGUGGUCCCUCCAAAAGAUGUGCCCACCUCCUAAUCCCCAGGUUGUGUGAUUACCUUAUAUGACAAAAGAUGUGAUGAAGUUAAGGCACUUGAAAGGAGGAGCUAAUCCUGGAUUUUCUGGGUGGGCCUUCACUGCAAUCACAUGUAUACUUAUAAAACAGGCAUAUACAGUAGGAGACAUGAAGAAAGAAGUGGGGGAGCCAGCGUGACCACAGGAACAGAGAUUGGAGUGGUGUCCUUACAAGUCAAGGAAUGCAGAUAGCCACCAGGUGCUGAAGGAAGAAAGGGGGGAUUCUCUCCUAGGGUCUUUAGAGGGAGUGCAGUCUUGCCAACACAUUGAUUUCAGACUUUGGCUUCCAGAAUUAUGAGAGAAUAAACUUCUGUUGUUUUAAGAUCUGAGAAAUUCAUACAUCUAACAUCCCCUUCCAACCCAGAUUUGUUUAGCUACUCUCACAUUGAUCACAUAGGGUCCUAAAAAGGAGAGCCCUUGACUUACUGUGUAUCCAAAACAGAAUGUCCAUGGUACCUGACACAUUAGAUGAUACUGACCUGAAAGAUGGGAUAACAGAUAUAUACACAACUCCUGUAUAAAUGAACAUAGGUCGAUUGGAGAAAGAGAUAGGUAAUUGACAGGUAGAUAGAUGGAGUGACUGGGUGAUUUACUCAUUCUACUCAGACAUGUAUUUAUUAUAUAUUUACUUGCAUACUCUCAUGAAGUUAACUUCUUUGGAGAGAAUCAAAAUAAAUAUUACCUGGGUUAUCUAUCCUUGAGGGUCAAACUUUAUAUUAAGAGGGUAAGUGCCACUAGUAUUCGGAGUAGGGAGAAGUAACUUUGCAGUUGUUUGGACAGACUGAUUUUCAGUUUCUGACAUUCAAAUGAAUCAAAGAAUUUAGAAUAA